UUCUUUUUAUCCAAUCCACUGAUGGUGGGCACCUAGGUCGAUUCUAUGUCUUUGCUAUUGUGAUUAGUGCUGCAUUGUACAUAUACUUCUAUAUUCUAGGACAACUUGCCGUCAAGAUAUUUGUACACAUAAAUGACCAUUGUUGUAAAACAUAGCAUCAUGUGUCUGUAUUUCAUGACUUAAAUGCUAUUUCAAAAGGACCUUAGUUUUUACCUAAACUCAAAACAUUUUUAUUUCUAUUUUUGCUUUAUGAUUUUUUAAGCUUACUGAAAAGUACAGAAAACAAUAAAUAUUCUCGUACUUCCCUCUUAUAUAAAAUGGUGCCACCAUCCUGUCACAUUUCCUUCAGAUUUUCUUACAACAGAACAAAGCUUACAGAGGUUGCUGAAACCCCACCUGUCCAUCCCAUUCACCUCUUUUCCUCUCUGAAUGUUUCUAUCUUAAAAUGUUCACACAAUGACAAAAAUCAUCUAACAACACUUCUCAGAACAUAUACAUGCCAGUUAGCUGUGCAUGACUGUGUUUAUAAUGUAUACUAUUACUUAUAUUGGAUUAUCAGUAUUAUAUAUGAUUUUAUAUAAAUAUAUAUGUGUACACAUACACAUAUACACAUAUACACUUGUUUUGGGAAGAUUUAAACUUGUACUUAAAUUGUUUCAUUCAAAAAUAAGGUUUUCAAGAGCUGGGUGAGGUGCCUCAUGCAUCUGAUCCCAGCUAUUCACGAAGCUAAGGUGGGAGGAUAGCUUGAGCCCAGAAGUUCAAGGCCAGCCUGGGCAACAUAGCAAGUUUCUGUCUCUAAAAAACUAAAAAAUAAAGAAAGGUUAACAAUUUUUUAAAAAGUGAGCCAAAAGUAAUGUUUUGAGAGAUUCAACCAUAUUGAUGCUUGCAGUUUUAGUUUAUUUUAACUUGAGAAGAGAAUGUGGCUAUUAAAUUGCUGGUAAGAAGGUACAAAUAUCUAGUAGACCAAUUUGGAAGAAACAAAUAAAUUUGGGAGAAUGUAUAUCCUAUGGCCCAGCAAUUUCACUUCUCUGCAUGAGAAACUCUUACACAUGUGCACAAAAAUAUCUACAAGGUUGUUCGCAGCAAUGGCUUUAAUAGUGAAAACCUGGAAGUAAUUUAAGUGGCCCUCAUUAGUAACAUGGGCAAACAGUGGAAUAUUAUACAGCAGCGAAAAUAACAUUUUAAUAAAAUGAAUUAUAGUAAUGAGAAAAAUUGUCAAACUAUUAACCACAUAUAAAUCUACAAACAAUACUUGAUAAAAUAUGGGUGCAAAAAAUAUUUUUAAUAUUAGGCAUUUUAUGAGCAAGAUGUUUUCUCUUAUACCCUAUUCAUCAUAAUUUUUACAUAAUCUAUUUCCUUUUUAAAUUAAUAUGUUGGGCUCGCAUGAGAUAAUUACAGAAGAAUAAUAAGACAUUUUCAAAAAAUAUGCAGGUUAAUAAAUGGGCAAGAUCUAUUUUGCAAUUUUUCUCCAACAUGUUUGUGUGAUGCUGAGUGGCAACUCUUUAUAUUAUCUCUUAGUGGGCCACAAUCAAAGAACUGCAUAAAUUAGUGUUAUUUAUGGGUUAUCUGCUUUAAGAAAAUCUGGCAUAUUAAAACAUAGACUUAAAAAUAUAUAGUAAGCUGGGGAUUUUUAAAAAUAGAGGUAUACUUGGAUUUAUAAUUGGAAACACCUUUGCAUAGGAACACUCCCAGCAUCUUAAAUAUGGCUUACUAUAUGAAAUUUAUUUUUUCAAAGCUUCAAGAAUACAUCUGUUUCAUAAAGAAGAAAAAUAUAUUCAUAGUAGUAAUUUUAGCACUAAAUAAUGAUUGACACUUCAAUGCCACAUAUUAGUAGCUCUAGUGAUAAAACUCUAUCAAAGAUGAAGAUAAUCAAUCAGUUUACUGCUCCCGCUUCCAAAGUCUGAUAUUUAUUUGAGGUUAAUCGUGGUAUCAUUCUUUAAUUUCAUAUCUUGUCAUGUUCAUCACUGUGAAGUUGAGGUAAAAUUCUUUUAACUCAUUCUGUAAAACUGUUAAGCUAUAAAUCAGAUGUUCGUUAAAGUCAAGUAGAGUUCAGUCUUAUGAUUUCAUUCUCCUCAAGAAUCAUUGAGUAAUCUUUUCCCUGUGAAACAAGUACUUCAAUGAGGAUUGAUUUUGCAGCUCAAAUAGGAUGGUUAUUUUUACUGGCCAUUCACCAUGUUCAUUUAUCCUAGAUUUUACCAGUUAUGCACUUCUGGGUACCAUCUGAACUGUGGAAGGAGCAAGUGGGAUGCCAGGGAAGAGGAAAGGGCCAUAUAGAAGUUAAAGGACACAAUAACUCAUGAAAUUAUCCAGUGAGAAUUCUGCAGGACUGCAUGCAGAGGUUGUAAAUGGCCUGCUUAAGAGGAAUGGUUGAGCCAAUCAUCAGUAAGAUUCUAGAGGGGGUUUGAUCUAGAUUUUCUGCAGUUUCUUUCCUACUUAGCCAUUUUUCAGCCAAAGAGGUUUCUGCUAACAUGUAGAAUUCCUUCUAUGAGGAAUCCAUGCUAUCAUCAGUGCGGAGUGAUAUGUGAGUCAUAAUUACUAUACUCAUAAAACUCCUAGAAAUGUAGAAUGAUAAGAUAUUUUAAGGAUUAGUUUGUCUCGUCUUCUUAUGUUCAGACUGAGAAAAUGCAGAUCAUGGAGAUUAAGGGAUUUGUUCAAGGUCCCAGGGAUAGUGGGCUCCAAAUCAGAAGAAAAUCCCAACUUCUAGUUCUAAGUCCAUUGCUUUUCCCUCUCUCAAUACCCAUUGCUGCUGCUUCUUAAAAGAAUCAGGAAUAUCUAUUAAAUGAUUGUAGAUUUUAUAUUUAAGUUUUUGAGUAGUUAGUCUCCUGUAGAUGAGCAUUCUUUGGAAGACAAAGCAGCAAAGUCAAAAGUGUAAGAAUUUAGAAGCCAGACAGACAAUAACCAAAAGAAGUUCUAUCAUUUUCUACCUAUGUGAUAAUGGAAAAGCUAUUUAAUCCCUCUACACCUCAGCUUUCUGAUCCAUAAAAACAGCGAUUGUAACAUCAACAUGUAGGGUUACUGUGAGGAUUUAAAAAAUUAAUAUUAUAUAGUGCUUGGAACAGUACCCAGCACAUAGUAAAUAUUCAGUCAGUGAGACAUGUAAUUCUCGGAUGUCUUCUUCCCCUUUAUCUUCUAGAAACAGGUAACUUUUUUUUCCCUUUAUGCCUAAAAGAGUGAAUUUUGUUGCAUUGUUAUUUUAGAUUGGUGAUAAAUCUUACAGACAAACUAAUGUGUAAAUAAGCUUAAAAUACACAUCUGAUUUUCACUUUUUGUUUUUUUAAGUCCUGAUCUCAUUCCCCUCAUGGACUGGGGAAAGAGUGAAUGUAGGUUUAUGAAGACAUUUACAUGUCAUAGUCCAGCAUUUUCCAAACAAUGAUCUUUGACCACCUGCAUCAGAAUCAUCUGUAGGGAUUGUUUCAAGAAGAAGAUUCCUGGACUCCACCACAGACCCAUAAAUACUGUAUCUUCAUCACAGAUUCAGUGAUGAAGAGGCCCAGGAACCUCUGUGUUAUAACAAACACAAAAUGUAUUUUUAUACACUAAUUUUUGAGAAUCACUGCUGUAGAUGAAUCGCCAGUUAAACCCCAGAUUACUUGACCAAAAAUAUUACUUCAAUCAUGCUAAUUCCCUGUUUUCUCACUUGUCUUCAAUUGGGCAAGGAGGGCUAUCAGGCUCUGUGAACCUUAUGGCUGUCCUACCUUAUGGUAGGCUGAAAAUAUGCCCCCAAAGAUGGCUGUAUGUUUGUCCUCAGCGUCUGGGAAUAGGGUACUUUAUUUGGCAAAGGAACUUUGCAGAUGUGUCUAAAUUAAAGAUCUUGAGAUGCGAAGAUUAUUCUGGAUUAUCCAGGUGGGCCAAGCGUCAUCACAAGGGACUUCAAAAGAGAAGGAAGGAGAAUCAGAGUUAAUACAUGAUGACAGAAGCAAGAGACUGGAGUGAUACAAGGAAGGGGUCCUGAGCCAAGAAAGCUGAAAAAGGAAAGGAAACCGAUUGUCCUUUCAGAAUCUUCAGAAGGAACCAGCCCUGCUGGUAUCUUGACUUUAGCCCAGGGAGACUGAUUUUGGACUUCUGAUCUCCAGAACUAUAAGAUAAUGCAAGGCAUACUGUCCCUUUGCUCCACCUCUGUCCACUAGUUCUAUGAAUUUUUCAAAGUUCUGAAUAAAACCUUUCUCCUGUCUAAAAGCCAUCCUUGACCCUUCCAGCCAAGAGUUAUUUCCCAUUCUCUGAAGUUCUAAGCCAAUCAUAAUCUGCAAUUUAUUGUGCAUCCAGUUAUGAAAAGCUCUGUCUAGGAGUGGUUGUGUGCAAGAGCUUUCAAAUCAGAACACCUAGGUUUAAAUCCUGAUUCUGCCACAACUACCUUGGAGAAGUUUCUUAGACUCUCUAAAUCUCAUUGUCUUCAUUUGUAUCAAUCUCAUCAGAUGGUGAAGUUUGGAGAUGCUCCACCUAGAAGUGAACUGAUAUGGUGGCUGAAUCAGAGUCAGGACUUCACACCUGUGGCAAUCAUAGGAGGCAUUGUUCCUUCGGCGUAGCUCAGAUUAUUGUCGUAAACAUGACUAUUCAGACCAUGUUGUUGACAUUUUAUUAAUAUGUUCAUGUUUGUUUCCCUGUUAAUCCCAUGAAAUUAAGCAUGAUAAUAAUUAUAAUAACAAUAAUAAUAAUAGCAAAGUAGUACAGUGAAAGGAGUAUUAGGUUUUGGUAGACUUUUUUUUUUUUUUU